ensembl:lncRNA
AUGCCCCAGAACAUGAUGUUGGUCAGCAUGGUGCAAAGGAGUAGAGAAAAACAGCAGGACACUCGCUGGACACAUGUGAAGGUGCUCGUUGGGGGGCGGCUGAUCACAGAAAACCAGAUGUGGCCAUCACAGAAAUCCCUUGCCAUCCUCAUGAAGAACAGGUUACUGCAGAAUAUAUGGUGUAUUUGGUUUCAUCCCAAUACUUGCACUGAGCAACAAUGGAGAUAACAGUCACAGUGGCAUUGACGGAUUGAAUCCCUGGAUUCACAAUGGGAAUCAACAUUUCCUGACAAUUCACUGGGACCCAGGACCCAGGUGUAUCUCUCCUCUGUAUCAAAGAAAGAAACAAAAGACCCACGUAUAUUAAUGUUUUACAACAAUUAAAUGAAAUUUAUUUAUCAUGCCACACGACGUAUAUUCAUACGGUACAUUACGUGGCGUGUUGCUCUGCAGAGGCAUUUGGGCCUUGGCGAUAUAUUGCUUAUUGUUUGGGUAGUACUUAACUCCCAGGAACAGUUGGAAGGGCAUGUCCCUGGAUGGUUUAAUCUUUAGCACCAAUAUUACAACCGGUGAAGGGAUGUCAAUCAUCAGGGGGCUGUAGUUUCCCAGGUACAUUAUUGAAAUGUCCCCUUUGAUGAAAUCUGGGACGAGACUGUUGAUCCCGUUCUGUCCAUUUGUGCGUUUUUCUGUCUGUGCCAGUGUCAAUUGUGUAGUUAAACAACCACAGGGCACAUUUAAGGAAUGAUGCACCCACAGAUAUAGCAAGCAACUGAUUAAGAUAUCACUGAUGUCAACCAUGCAUACCUAGGCCAAGUUUUAAACCUUCAUUAAACUAAACCGAUUGGUCUAAGGCGAGGUAAUUAACUGCACAUUGUUAGUCAUGUGAUAUCUCAGACACCACAGGCUUGAUUUUGACAAGAUAUGGGUGAAUAAGACAUCUUGCCAUUUACAGUAGAUCUUUCAAAUACACAGUUUGGCCAAAUGGGGCAGGUGCUUCCUUCUCGGAGGACUCCUUUUAUUGUAGCCCAUAGGGUUUGAGUUGUUGCAUUCUCAGAAUGUCAGUAGAAUAGAAUAUGCAGUGAUAUACAGCGCUCUGACCUCAAUCUCCUCAGAUAGGUACUCUAUGGGGAUGAUAGAACCAUUUUCUCUUGUCAGUGAGACAGAACCAACAGUGCCACUAAUAUCUUUCUCCUCAUUCCAUGAAAAUGGGUUUUUCUUCAAACUCUGCAUCUGUAAGUGGGAAAUAGUGGGUCAAAGAAGAGUUUAAAAACCUGACAAACUAACUGUUCAUCAACAAAAUGAAAAAACAUACUGAUCUGAGCGCUGCUGAUAAUCACAGGAGAUUCAUCAACUUUCCUCCCUUUUUAAAGUGCACUCUGCACAUUGUCCAUGCUCAAGAAAAGUAACUGGGAGACUUCUUUCUGUGAAAGACAAACUGUUCAGUAAAGCUACUUCAUUUCUGUCAUUCGACUGUCAGUCAUACAAAUAAAGAUGUGCUCACGUUUGAGCAGACAUCCAGGAUAUUGCUGACUGCCUCCACAAUUUGCAUAGCUGCGUCCAUCAUCACCUCACCACCAUCCUCACUGACAUUCAUGGACAGGAGGGAAGAACUGAGAUUUACCACCAGGGCGCUAGCUUGUAGCUGGAAAAGAUCAACCAAAUAGCAUUAUGUUUUCCUUGGCCCCUUUUCAUCAAUAGGCCUGUGUGUUUCUAUCUUGUAAUCCAUGUUAUCGUGCAUAAUGAGGAGAUUCAAGUGUACCUGAGAAUUGGCACUAAGCUCAUCCCCCUUGCUGGUGAGUCCUGCCACAGCUCUGGCCAUCACCUGCACUGUCUGAGGAGUUAAACUGCUAGAGGUGUUCUCCAAUGCUUUCAUUAUACUUGUCAGCAUCAGUCCUCACAGCUUAAGGAACCUUACAAUAAAUUGAAACACUUACAUUGCACACUUCAAAAACUCCAUAUGGAUCAGCCAUGGUAGAUCACAAACAUCUGCCUUUUAAACCGUAUUAAAAAUGCUGUUCAAUUUUUGUGUGAGGAACCUUAGCAUUCAAUUUGCAGUGGUCUCUUUAUUUUAACCUUGUUGUUCCUCACUCAAAAAAGCUGACAUGGCCCCAUAGAUCUAUUGUUCCCACUUGUCACCCAGGCACAAAUAAAGAAAAGGAGGAUUAAAAUAAACAUAAUUGAUAGACUUACAACAAGUCUUUUUCAGAUGAUUGAGUUUGAACUGCCUUAGAUCUUAGUAUCCUAUUUUCUCUCUCUGUUUAUGUUAGGUACAGCCCUGAGGGAGGUACAGAGACAGCCUGGAGCGGUGAUAAUUCAUUGAGAGGAAGUAAGUGCACAAGUGAGAGUUUGAGGUUAUCCAGGCAGUGCUCGUAAAAGCAGGGUUUCCUAGAUACAUGGUAUGGAGAGGAGCUGGAUUAGACUGGUCAGAUAGGUCCAGAGCCAAGAACAGACACACCCACCAUGGUCAGUAGAGAAAAGUCAGGGGAGGUCCCCUGGAGUUUGUUCCUGUUCCAUUAUAAAAGGAUCCCUGUAUUUCGUGGUCAUACACGUUUGCCAUUCACUAAUGUCAUAAAGUGAUGUCAUACAUUGCUGAACACUGUGUAACAGCCCUUAUGUAGAUUGUAUUGGUUUCCUGAAUAGUUCAUAGUCAACUUUAUCAAGUUUCUGGGAGAACUCACCGACAAACCUAAAGUAGUAGACACCGAGUUUUGACCACAUAACAGAUCAGCAUGAAUUUGCUCCAAUGCAAUGACCCUGGGUUGAAGUAAAUCUAUGAUUCUGUGGCGUUGCAAAGCAGAUGUAGUUGACAUGGCCUCUGCUAUAACAUUUAGUUCAAAUUUCUAGUUUCAAGCCCAGCAUUCACUUUUUUUUUUAUUCCUUCGCAAGUGCGAUACAGUAUCUAAUGGGCAGUAAAAUAGAUUUGCCACUGUAUGUGGUUACACCUAGUGAUGGCCAAAUGAGGCUUCAUUAGCGUUAUUUUAGCAGCAGGAUAUUAUGCUGGCAGCACUCAGAUUUACAUUUUCAAAAUAAAAGCCAUCAUCGAAAUUUACAAGCCAAUAUAGUUAACAAUCUAGUCUGUAAAAAAGAACAGACAAGACCAACAUUGGAACGGACAUUAAACAAAAUGUACCAACUAGAUUGUGACUAUAUUGCCUUAUAUAUUUAAAUGAUGGCUUUAAUUUUGAAAAGGUACAUCUGAGUUAGCGUUCCUAGCAUAAUAUCUUGCUGCUAGAAGAACGGUAAUGAAGCCUCGAAUGCCCAUCACUAGUUACUACAUCAUGGAGCUUAUCACUGGACGACUAACUUAGCACGUCCCUGUUGCCGGAAGUCUCAGGAUGGGUUUAUUUACCAUAUAGGUUCCAUUAAGUUUCAGGUCCUGGCUGGGGGCCUCUAGGCAUCUCCAUGUGCCUGGGGGCCACAGUUAGGACCUUACCGCAGAGGGGCCUCGUCAUCCCUGUGGUACUGUUUUCUGUGCUCCCCAAUUAGAGACAGCUGCAUCUUGUUGUCUGAAAUUUGAAGAUGGGUCAUGGCUGGGUCUUCCAGCAUGACAACGACCCAAAACACACAGCCAGGGCAACUAAGGAGUGGCUCCAUAAGAAGCAUCUCAAAGUCCAUGAGUGGCCUAGCCAGUCUCCAGACCUGAACCCAAUAGAAAAUCUUUGAAGGGAGCUGAAAGUCCGUAUUCCGUCACUCACAGUUGAAGAGUACCUAUGUUAAAAAUUACAGACUUCGACAUGCUUUGUAAGUGGGAAAAUCGGGAAAAUCAGCAAAAUCGGCAGUUUAUCAAAUACUUGUUCUCCCCACUGUAUGAGCAUUUUCUUUUUUUUACUGUGUAGAUCCAUAAUUUAAUAGACUAUAGGAAUAUCCUUGUUUUUUGUGUUUAAUUUGAAAUGCAUCACAUUGCAUUUUUUUGGUAUAGUGAGUUUUACAAAAGCAAAAACAUCUGUGUUUGGAUGGCAUAGUACCUUUGGCCAGUUGCAUGAUGUUGAGAGGAGUAAUUGAGAGGAAUACAAAAAACUUUAUUUAUGAGGCAUGAAGUGAUGAUUUAUUUGCUAAUGAUGCAGUUAUUCAUUGUUCAAUGAUGCAUUGUUCAGUAAUCCAUCUGAUAAAAGAUAACAUUAGGUUGAAGCAGAGAGGCAUGUAGCACACAUACUGUCUAUUGACCACCCAUAAACCACAGCUUGCCUCUAUAUUGUACGAAAUCCCAUACCGAGUACAUAUUGUAACUUAAUAGCAUUAUCUUUGCAAAUAAUAUUUUUAGGCCUAUUAUAUGGUGGCUGUCUGAUUUUGUCACUAGAGCUAGUACUAUUACAAGUUAUAUUAUAAUAAUUGCUGUCAUCAUUAGGCUUUCAUUUUUUAAAGAACCGAUUCAUAUAAAAGCAGUAAAAUGUUUGGGAGGGGUAUCAAUGGGCAUGUUUUAGAGAGAGGAUCAUUUUCACAAUGCCUACUCCAAAUGUCUCCCAUUCAUACAUGAAACAAUAGCAUAGGAGCACAAACAUUGCAAUAAUUGAAUUGCAGUGGUCAAUAUUUACAACAUUGUAUUUCUGU